UCCCUGGUGGCCUAGAGGUUAAAGCAUCUGCCUCCAACGCAGGAGACCCGGGUUCAAUCCCUGGGUCGGGAA
rfam:Ovis aries breed Texel chromosome 5, whole genome shotgun sequence.